CCUACGGGAGGCAGCAGUAGGGAAUGUUCGGCAAUGGGGGGAACCCUGACCGAGCAACGCCGCGUGAACGAAGAAGUUAGUCGUAAUGUAAAGUUCUUUUAACAGGGAAGAAAGAGAAAUUGGACGGUACCUGAAGAAUAAGCUCCGGCCAACGACGUGCCAGCAGCCGCGGUAAUACGUCGGGAGAGAGCGUUAUCCGGAAUUAUUGGGCGUAAAGGGUGCGUAGAUUGCCUAGUAAGUCUUUUGUAAAAAUGCUGGGCUCAACCCAGUAGGGCAAAAGAUACUGCAAAGCUAGAGUAUGACAGAGGCAAGUGGACCUACAUGUGUAGCGG
rnacentral:rRNA from 1 species